UACGUAGGGGGCUAGCGUUGUCCGGAUUUAUUGGGCGUAAAGAGCGUGUAGGCGGCCAGGUAGGUCUGCUGUGAAAACUCGAGGCUCAACCUCGAGACGUCGGCGGAAACCAUCUGGCUAGAGUCCGGAAGAGGAGAGUGGAAUUCCUGGUGUAGCGGUGAAAUGCGUAGAUAUCAAGAGGAACACCUGCGGCGAAGGCGGGUUGCUGGGCCGACACUGACGCUGAGGCGCGAAAGCCAGGGGAGCGAACAGG
rnacentral:rRNA from 1 species